rnacentral:misc_RNA from 1 species
GGCAGCUCUGGUCCGGCAUCCAGAAGUCCCUCGACAAGUCAUGCGGCAGCGGCUGCCCAGCCGCCGCGUCCGACUGCAACGCGGGCGGCGGAGAGUGGUCGCCCCGCCGCGGCAUCCACGACUUCACCGCACCGAACAACUCCACGAGCCGCCCAUCCGGCGAUCCCAUCAUCCGCGCCACGCUUACCACCGCCACCGCCAGCAGCCCCGCCCCUCAUGCUCAAUCCGGCGACGCCUCAAUCCGCAUAGCUAGCUUUCCCCAGAGCCAAAACAAUUCCACCUCCGCGCCGCAAUCCGCCCACCAGAUCAGAUCACUAACACCAGCGGUGGCGGCGGCAGUAGCAGCAGCGGAA